rnacentral:rRNA from 1 species
GGUUAAGCGACUAAGCGUACACGGUGGAUGCCCUGGCAGUCAGAGGCGAUGAAGGACGUGCUAAUCUGCGAAAAGCGUCGGUAAGGUGAUAUGAACCGUUAUAACCGGCGAUGUCCGAAUGGGGAAACCCAGUGUGAUUCGUCACACUAUCGUUAACUGAAUACAUAGGUUAACGAGGCGAACCGGGGGAACUGAAACAUCUAAGUACCCCGAGGAAAAGAAAUCAACCGAGAUUCCCCCAGUAGCGGCGAGCGAACGGGGAGCAGCCCAGAGUCUGAAUCAGCUUGUGUGUUAGUGGAACGGUCUGGAAAGUCCGACGGUACAGGGUGAUAGUCCCGUACACCAAAAUGCACAGGCUGUGAACUCGAAGAGUAGGGCGGGACACGUGGUAUCCUGUCUGAAUAUGGGGGGACCAUCCUCCAAGGCUAAAUACUCCUGACUGACCGAUAGUGAACCAGUACCGUGAGGGAAAGGCGAAAAGAACCCCGGCGAGGGGAGUGAAAAAGAACCUGAAACCGUGUACGUACAAGCAGUGGGAGCACCUUCGGGUGUGACUGCGUACCUUUUGUAUAAUGGGUCAGCGACUUAUAUUCUGUAGCAAGGUUAACCGUAUAGGGGAGCCGCAGGGAAACCGAGUCUUAACUGGGCGUUAAGUUGCAGGGUAUAGACCCGAAACCCGGUGAUCUAGCCAUGGGCAGGUUGAAGGUUGGGUAACACUAACUGGAGGACCGAACCGACUAAUGUUGAAAAAUUAGCGGAUGACUUGUGGCUGGGGGUGAAAGGCCAAUCAAACCGGGAGAUAGCUGGUUCUCCCCGAAAGCUAUUUAGGUAGCGCCUCGUGAAUUCAUCUUCGGGGGUAGAGCACUGUUUCGGCUAGGGGGUCAUCCCGACUUACCAACCCGAUGCAAACUACGAAUACCGAAGAAUGUUAUCACGGGAGACACACGGCGGGUGCUAACGUCCGUCGUGAAGAGGGAAACAACCCAGACCGCCAGCUAAGGUCCCAAAGUCAUGGUUAAGUGGGAAACGAUGUGGGAAGGCACAGACAGCCAGGAUGUUGGCUUAGAAGCAGCCAUCAUUUAAAGAAAGCGUAAUAGCUCACUGGUCGAGUCGGCCUGCGCGGAAGAUGUAACGGGGCUAAACCAUGCACCGAAGCUGCGGCAGCGACACUAUGUGUUGUUGGGUAGGGGAGCGUUCUGUAAGCCUGCGAAGGUGACCUGUGAGGGUUGCUGGAGGUAUCAGAAGUGCGAAUGCUGACAUAAGUAACGAUAAAGCGGGUGAAAAGCCCGCUCGCCGGAAGACCAAGGGUUCCUGUCCAACGUUAAUCGGGGCAGGGUGAGUCGACCCCUAAGGCGAGGCCGAAAGGCGUAGUCGAUGGGAAACAGGUUAAUAUUCCUGUACUUGGUGUUACUGCGAAGGGGGACGGAGAAGGCUAUGUUAGCCGGGCGACGGUUGUCCCGGUUUAAGCAUGUAGGCUGAUUGUCCAGGCAAAUCCGGAUAAUCAAGGCUGAGGUGUGAUGACGAGGCACUACGGUGCUGAAGUAACAAAUGCCCUGCUUCCAGGAAAAGCCUCUAAGCAUCAGGUAACAUCAAAUCGUACCCCAAACCGACACAGGUGGUCAGGUAGAGAAUACCAAGGCGCUUGAGAGAACUCGGGUGAAGGAACUAGGCAAAAUGGUGCCGUAACUUCGGGAGAAGGCACGCUGGUGUGUAGGUGAAGUCCCUGCGGAUGGAGCUGAGACCAGUCGAAGAUACCAGCUGGCUGCAACUGUUUAUUAAAAACACAGCACUGUGCAAACACGAAAGUGGACGUAUACGGUGUGACGCCUGCCCGGUGCCGGAAGGUUAAUUGAUGGGGUUAUCCGUAAGGAGAAGCUCUUGAUCGAAGCCCCGGUAAACGGCGGCCGUAACUAUAACGGUCCUAAGGUAGCGAAAUUCCUUGUCGGGUAAGUUCCGACCUGCACGAAUGGCGUAAUGAUGGCCAGGCUGUCUCCACCCGAGACUCAGUGAAAUUGAACUCGCUGUGAAGAUGCAGUGUACCCGCGGCAAGACGGAAAGACCCCGUGAACCUUUACUAUAGCUUGACACUGAACAUUGAGCCUUGAUGUGUAGGAUAGGUGGGAGGCUUUGAAGCGUGGACGCCAGUCUGCGUGGAGCCAACCUUGAAAUACCACCCUUUAAUGUUUGAUGUUCUAACGUUGGCCCCUGACCGGGGUUGCGGACAGUGUCUGGUGGGUAGUUUGACUGGGGCGGUCUCCUCCCAAAGCGUAACGGAGGAGCACGAAGGUUAGCUAAUCCUGGUCGGACAUCAGGAGGUUAGUGCAAUGGCAUAAGCUAGCUUGACUGCGAGCGUGACGGCGCGAGCAGGUGCGAAAGCAGGUCAUAGUGAUCCGGUGGUUCUGAAUGGAAGGGCCAUCGCUCAACGGAUAAAAGGUACUCCGGGGAUAACAGGCUGAUACCGCCCAAGAGUUCAUAUCGACGGCGGUGUUUGGCACCUCGAUGUCGGCUCAUCACAUCCUGGGGCUGAAGUAGGUCCCAAGGGUAUGGCUGUUCGCCAUUUAAAGUGGUACGCGAGCUGGGUUUAGAACGUCGUGAGACAGUUCGGUCCCUAUCUGCCGUGGGCGCUGGAGAAUUGAGGGGGCUGCUCCUAGUACGAGAGGACCGGAGUGGACGCAUCACUGGUGUUCGGGUUGUCAUGCCAAUGGCACUGCCCGGUAGCUAAAUGCGGAAGAGAUAAGUGCUGAAAGCAUCUAAGCACGAAACUUGCCCCGAGAUGAGUUCUCCCUGAGACUUUAAGUCUCCUGAAGGAACGUUGAAGACGACGACGUUGAUAGGCCGGGUGUGUAAGCGCAGCGAUGCGUUGAGCUAACCGGUACUAAUGAACCGUGAGGCUUAACCUU